rnacentral:lncRNA from 13 species
CUUGGUUCCCUGCAGUCCUAAUGUGGAGAAGAUGAUCUGUCUUGAUUGCAAUAUCUCAUCCAGAAUUUCUCUCAUUUUUGUAAGUGGGAAGGGGGAUAUUCACACAUUCUGUAAAUGUACUGGGUUCUUAUGAAAAUAUUUUGAAAUUUAGAGUAGAAUUUAGUAUAAGAAAAUUCCAUCUUGGACCCUAGCCAAUGAGAUUUAGGGGAUUAAGACUUCAUAAUAAAUGAGACUGGGAUACUAGGCCAGGCGCGGUGGCUCACGCCUGCUGUAAUCCCAGCACUUUGGGAGGCCGAGGCAGGUGGAUCAUGGGGUCAAGAGAUCGAGACCAUCCUGGCCAACAUGGUGAAACCCUGUCUCUACUAAAAAUACAAAAAUUAGCUGGGCAUGGUGGCACACACCUGUAGUCCUAGCUACUUGGGAGGGUGAAGCAGGAGAAUUGCUUGAACAAGGAGGCAGAGGCUGCAGCAAACUGAGAUUGCACCAUUGGACUCCAGCCUGGGUAACGAGUGAAACUCUGUCUCAAAAAAAAAAAAAGACUGGGAUACUUAAAGAUUGUUCCUAUGGGUAGGGCUCAAGUGACAUAAUAUGGUCACACUGUAACUGAGAAAUGAACACAGAAUUUGAAGAAAUCAUCCCAGUCUAUACUGCAAAAAGGAAGUAGCCUGCUAGGUGAAAUGGGAUUUAUUACGUAAAAUGGAUAGUGAUUUUAUUUCUGUUUAAAUGGUGAACUUUUUGCUCUUCCGCUUCUUUCACGUAACUUCAAUAGUGAGACACCAGUUUCCAUUUAAGAGCAUGAGCCCUGGAGUCAGAUGGCUGGAAUUUGAAACUCAGCUGUAUUCCUUCUUACUUGUGAGAUUACCAACCCAUUUAGAAGAAAAGGAUGAAAAAAACCAAACCAAAACAAAGCAAAGCAGAACACAAACACAGCUUCUGGGAGUCAAGGAAAGAAGACAGCAAGGAUUAAAUGCACAUCACGUUGAGUGGAGGACCUGUCAGCUCAUGCCUGGAUGACUGUGGUGGUCCCUAUUCUUCUAUUGCCAUGAAGACAACUGCAACCACUUUUCCCUACUUUGAUGUCACCCCCUGGUGAGCUGCCAUACCGUGCAUGAGUUGUUCUGUCCAAGCUUUCGUGCCUGUGGAGCGCUGGUGACUCACAGAAUAAGGUACUCAGUGCCUGGCUUCUCUGGGUAACUUUAAGCUCCUGCGGGAUGUUGACUGUGCUCCAAUUUAUUUUUUAUUUGAGUUCUUCCUAAAUACUCAUUGAAAGAAUGACAUUGUGGAAAAGCUGAGUUGGAUUUUCUCUGGAGAUUUAACUAAUCCUUUACAAUGAUUAUUAGUGAUCAAGAUGCUUGAUUCUAUUGCUUGAGUGUAGAGAUGAUUGGCCAUGACCACAGGGCCCUUAGCUGAGUAAAGUUCUCCUCAUCCCCACAAAACAGAAGCCCUUGGCCAGGCU